rnacentral:rRNA from 1 species
CCUACGGGUGGCAGCAGUGGGGAAUAUUGGACAAUGGACCAAAAGUCUGAUCCAGCAAUUCUGUGUGCACGAUGAAGUUUUUCGGAAUGUAAAGUGCUUUCAGUUGGGAAGAAGUCAGUGACGGUACCAACAGAAGAAGCGACGGCUAAAUACGUGCCAGCAGCCGCGGUAAUACGUAUGUCGCAAGCGUUAUCCGGAUUUAUUGGGCGUAAAGCGCGUCUAGGCGGCUUAGUAAGUCUGAUGUGAAAAUGCGGGGCUCAACCCCGUAUUGCGUUGGAAACUGCUAAACUAGAGUACUGGAGAGGUAGGCGGAACUACAAGUGUAGAGGUGAAAUUCGUAGAUAUUUGUAGGAAUGCCGAUGGGGAAGCCAGCCUACUGGACAGAUACUGACGCUAAAGCGCGAAAGCGUGGGUAGCAAACAGGAUUAGAUACCCUUGUAGUC